GAUGAAGAACGCAGUGAAAUGCGAUAAGUAAUGUGAAUUGCAGAAUUCAGUGAAUCAUCGAAUCUUUGAACGCACAUUGCGCCCGCCAGUAUUCUGGCGGGCAUGCCUGUUCGAGCGUCAUUACAACCCUCAGGCCCCCGGGCCUGGCGUUGGGGAUCGGCGGAGCCCCCCGUGGGCACACGCCGUCCCCCAAAUGCAGUGGCGGUCCCGCCGCAGCUUCCAUCGCGUAGUAGCUAACACCUCGCGACUGGAGAGCGGCGCGGCCACGCCGUAAAACACCCAACUCUUCUGAAGUUGACCUCGAAUCAGGUAGGAAUACCCGCUGAACUUAAGCAUAUCAUAAGCGGAGGA
rnacentral:misc_RNA from 1 species